rnacentral:rRNA from 1 species
AUUGAACGCUGGCGGCAGGCCUAACACAUGCAAGUCGAACGUGCGGCGGACGGGUGAGUAAUGUAUGGGAAACUGCCUGAUGGAGGGGGAUAACUACUGGAAACGGUAGCUAAUACCGCAUACCAUCGGAUGUGCCCAUAUGGGAUUAGCUUGUAGGUGGGGUAACGGCUCACCUAGGCGACGAUCCCUAGCUGGUCUGAGAGGAUGCUCAGCCACAUUGGGACUGAGACACGGUCCAGACUCCUACGGGAGGCAGCAGUGGGGAAUAUUGCACAAUGGGCGCAAGCCUGAUGCAGCCAUGCCGCGUGUAUGAAGAAGGCCUUCGGGUUGUAAAGUACUUUCAGCGGGGAGGCGUUACUCGCAGAAGAAGCACCGGCUAACUCCGUGCCAGCAGCCGCGGUAAUUC